rnacentral:snRNA from 1 species
GAAAGGUUCCAUGUGAAC